ensembl:lncRNA endothelial cell-specific chemotaxis regulator-like
AAGAAAUGCAAAGACCAGAGUUUGUAUAAGGUUUUUAUUAGGAACUUCUAAGUUUCAAAGGCUCAAUCAAUGAGGGCUUUUUUCCAUGAGGCCAUCCCACCUGUUUCCUGCUAUUCUUCCACAGGAAGCUCGGGGCCGCAGCCCCUUCUCCCUCAAACCAGAGCUCGGCGCCCACUGACACACACCCAAACACACGCUUCUCAGCAGGGCUUUGUAAUACUAUGUGCACUCCCUCGUGUGUUACUAUUAUAUCCAACAGGAAACAGAUUUGGACAUACUGGUUAAUGCUUCAGCCAAACUCACUCGCUCAAGAAUAUUUCCAUAGUUGUUUGGCUUUGUUUUUCAUUUUUUACACAUACAUAAGUACUGUAAUUAUUUCCUGAUAUCUGGGAUACAUACGACCGGUCCUGUGUAGGUGGAUGAGAGUAAAACCCAUUUGGAUUGAGACAUGGAGCAGCUCUUUUUUCUUCUCAUCCCCCUGUUUGCAUCUUCAUCCAUAAUCUCAGCAGGAAAUGACCCAAACAUACCAACUACAGUACCUCCAAACACAACUGCUAUGUCUCCGUGGUCUGUUGUUUCAAGAACAGAAGUCCAAACUGAAAAAACUGUGACUUACACUUUGUCAUCUCAAUAUGAUAUUGGCAUGACCAGUCACACCUUAAAAACUGUGAGCACAACCACUGCUCCUGUAUCUUCUAGCCACACAGGCAGUACUGAUGGAUCCGGCCUCUCUUCGCAUAACACAUCAGUGGGUGUUUCUCUGCUUCCAAAGACUUCAACAACCGCUAAUUCAAACAUCAGCAUGUCAGAGGUGACGGCAACACCUUCACAGGCACCAGACAGCGGUCUCACUUUGCUCGCCUUUGGUGUGAUGAGUCUUAUACUCAUUUUAAUUGUUGUCAUGGUGGUCUUGGUGACCGCUAUCAACCUCAGGGGACGGUGUAGAAAUACUAAACAGCAUGAGGGUAUUAAAAGCUGUGAUUCGGUGGUGUCUGACAGCAACAUGACCAGCAACUGUGAGAAAGAGAGCAUCACUCUUGUCUCUGUGAGGACAAUAAACACAGAAAACAAUACAGAUUCUCCCCAGAUGUCUUCAGUUCGUAGCACUAUAGUGGAUAAUGAUGACCAAGAAUUUACCAGAGACCUGCUGGGCAUCAAAGACGGACUGUGAUUUUACUCAGUUCGUAGUGCACGAGAUUGGAGGCUGCAUACUCUAUUUAUACUAUUAAAUGAAUGUGAAUUAAUGUGCCUUUAGCUAAUGGUCAGUGUACAGACCACACAUCAUGUUUAUGACAUGCAUUGGUGCACUCACUGCAUUUAAAAUAUCUCAUGCUCUCAUAUAUUAAACAUGACACAUCUUUCAUUGAUAAAUAAAAUGUCACUUUUGAGUUCAU